GAUGAACGCUAGCGGCAGGCUUAACACAUGCAAGUCGAGGGGCAGCGGGGGGCGCGCUUGCGCGUCCCGCCGGCGACCGGCGCACGGGUGAGUAACACGUAUGCAACCUGCCCCCGCCAGGGGUACAACCCUCCGAAAGGGGGGCUGAUACCGCGUACAUCCCCUGGGGGCAUCCCCGGGGGAGGAAAGCCCUUUUGGGCGGGCGGGGAUGGGCAUGCGGCGCAUUAGGAAGACGGCGGUGUGACGGACCACCGUUCCGACGAUGCGUAGGGGUUCUGAGAGGAAGGCCCCCCACACUGGUACUGAGACACGGACCAGACUCCUACGGGAGGCAGCAGUGAGGAAUAUUGGUCAAUGGCCGGAAGGCUGAACCAGCCAAGCCGCGUGAGGGAGGAAGGCGCAGAGCGUCGCAGACCUCUUUUGCCGGGGGACAAAAGGCCGGACUCGUCCGGUCCUGAGGGUACCCGGAGAAAAAGCAUCGGCUAACUCCGUGCCAGCAGCCGCGGUAAUACGGAGGAUGCGAGCGUUAUCCGGAUUCAUUGGGUUUAAAGGGUGCGCAGGCGGGCCUUUAAGCCGGCGGUGAAAUCGCGGGGCUCAACCCCGCCGAGCCGUCGGAACUGGGGGCCUUGAGUGCGGCGGAGGCAUGCGGAAUGCGCGGUGUAGCGGUGAAAUGCAUAGAUAUCGCGCAGAACCCCGAUUGCGAAGGCAGCGUGCCGUGCCGCCACUGACGCUGAGGCACGAAAGCGCGGGGAUCGAACAGGAUUAGAUACCCUGGUAGUCCGCGCCGUAAACGAUGGAUGCUGGGUGUCCGGGGCGUUCAGGCCCUGGGUGCCGGAGCGAAAGCGGUAAGCAUCCCACCUGGGGAGUACGCCGGCAACGGUGAAACUCAAAGGAAUUGACGGGGGCCCGCACAAGCGGAGGAACAUGUGGUUUAAUUCGAUGAUACGCGAGGAACCUUACCCGGGCUCAAACGGGGGGCGCGGGCGGCAGAGACGCCGCCGUCCUUAUGGACGUCCCCCGAGGUGCUGCAUGGUUGUCGUCAGCUCGUGCCGUGAGGUGUCGGAUUAAGUUCCAUAACGAGCGCAACCCCCGCGCGCAGUUGCUAACGGGUCAGGCCGAGGACUCUGCGCGGACUGCCGGCGCAAGCCGCGAGGAAGGCGGGGACGACGUCAAAUCAGCACGGCCCUUACGUCCGGGGCGACACACGUGUUACAAUGGGGGGUACAGCGGGAAGCCAGGCGGCGACGCCGAGCGGAACCCGAAAGCCCCUCCCAGUUCGGAUCGGAGCCUGCAACCCGGCUCCGUGAAGCUGGAUUCGCUAGUAAUCGCGCAUCAGCCAUGGCGCGGUGAAUACGUUCCCGGGCCUUGUACACACCGCCCGUCAAGCCAUGGGAGCCGGGGGCGCCUGAAGUGCGGUACCGCGAGGGCCGCCCAAGGGCGAGACCGGUGACUGGGGCUAAGUCGUAACAAGGUAGCCGUACCGGAAGGUGCGGCUGGAACACCUCCUUUCUGGAGCCCGGCCUGUCAGGUGGCCGGCUGCGUUUCCCGAGUCCUGCGGCACACACAUACGGCGGAGGCGGAGUUCCGGACGGGGCGACCCCGGGCGGGAACGGCCGAGCCGCCGCACAGGGGGGGAUUAGCUCAGCUGGCUAGAGCACCUGCUUUGCAAGCAGGGGGUCAACGGUUCGAAUCCGUUAUUCUCCACCGAAAAGAAACACAGAGCCUGCCCGACGACCUGGGGUCGUUUGGCAGGCGCCACGAAGGAAGGACAUUGACAUGCUGGAAGCGAAACGAAGAUCUCGAGGGCGGCGGCGCAGAUGCGCAGGCCGUCCGGAAGACGACACAACGAGCGAACCAAGGUAGGCACAACAGGCCCGAGGCGCGGAGUGCACCGCGGGGUUCGGGAGGACAAUCCCGGAUUCCGAGAGGACACAACGGAGUCGGAAGGGCGCAUGGGGGAUGCCUGGGCUCUCGGAGGCGAAGAAGGACGUGACAAGCUGCGAAAAGCCGCGGGGAGGGGCAAAUGCCCGUUGAUCCGCGGAUUUCCGAAUGGGGCAACCCGGCGGGAGCGAUCCCGCCAUCCGCGCGGAGCGCGGAGGCGAACGCGGGGAACUGAAACAUCUAAGUACCCGCAGGAAAAGAAAGUAACAACGAUACCCCGAGUAGAGGCGAUCGAAAGGGGCACAGCCCAAACCGGCGGCGUCUUGCGGCGCGUGCCGGGGUUGUAGGGCCGUCCGCGGGGGCGCGGAGGCGCGAGGGGGACAGCCUGGAACGGCUGGCCGGAGAGGGUGAAAGCCCCGUACCCGAAGCGACGAUGCGUCCGGGCGGUGCCUGAGUAAGGCGGGACACGAGGAAUCCCGCCCGAACCAGCGGGGACCAUCCCGCAAGGCUAAACACUACCGAGAGACCGAUAGCGCAC
rnacentral:rRNA from 1 species